rnacentral:misc_RNA from 1 species
AAGGAGUCUAACAUGCUUGCGAGUAUUUGGGUGUCAAACCCGGUUGCGUAAUGAAAGUGAAUGGAGGUGGGAACCGCAAGGUGCACCAUCGACCGAUCUGGAUUUUUUAAGAUGGAUUUGAGCAAGAGCACGUAUGUUGGGACCCGAAAGAUGGUGAACUAUGCCUGAGUAGGGCGAAGCCAGAGGAAACUCUGGUGGAGGCUCGUAGCGGUUCUGACGUGCAAAUCGAUCGUCAAAUUUGGGUAUAGGGGCGAAAGACUAAUCGAACCAUCUAGUAGCUGGUUCCUGC